rnacentral:piRNA from 1 species
AACUCAAUUUGUAGACCUGGCUGGC